rnacentral:lncRNA from 1 species
GGGAAAGUGAGUGUUUUUUAAAAAUUAUUUUUUCUGUUUUCUUUUAAUAGCCAAUACAUUCUCAAACUUAAAACAUCAGAGAGUAGAAGGAUAUAUGGUGAAAAUCUCUCUUUCGUGUUGCAUCUCCUUCAUUCUUCCACUUUCAACCCCCUUUCCCCCAUAAAACAGGUUCCAAAGGAAACCUCAAGUCCGGUAUAAGCAAAACAAUUCAUGAACAAAAUGGCUGUGAGCACAUUUCAUUUGCAAGACAGCACUAGAGGGCGCUCUUCAGCAGGUCUCAAGAUUAAGAAGCAAUAUCCUGAGAUACAUCUUUCUCUGAUAGAAAUUUUGUCUUGGGAAAAGCUUUGACCAGAUCGUAGUGACAGAAAUGAGAGGCUGGGCCAGUCUUUGGCGCCUGCCCUUGGCUCAGCGCCCGGUGCCAACAGAACACCUUUCAGGAUCCACAGCAACGCAGACAACGAGUCCAGGAUCCCGGCCUCUGCUUGGAACGGAACAGUGUCAUGGCGGAGACGACGGCCUUUGUCUUGCUGGGUGUGAAAGCAUCCGCUUUGCAGGCUCCACUGCGGCAGAAUCAAGUUUAAAGGAAAAAGUGAUUAAAGUCAGCUUUGUGCCUCUUUGGUGUGGAAGACCCCCAAACCCCAAGUAGCCGAGUCCCUGGGUCCGAGGAAGGGCUCAUAGUUGGAGCAGCCUAGGCUGUAAUCCUGGCACUUGCGCCUUCGGUUGCUGCUUGCUGUUCGCUCCUGGGGGUCUGGAUAAUCUCCCUUGGCUUUACCGCACUGUCUGGCCCGCAUACAGGGCCCCCGUAACAUAUACCCGCUGCUGCUAUCGCACGAAACUGUGGCGUUGCCCCUGAAUGGAUGGCACUGUGCCAACUCUUCUGCCAUCCGCCCUUGCAGCUUUUUUCUUUCCUGCCUCCCUCCCCUUCUUCUCCUCCUCCUCCCGUCGACUUGACGUUAAUUAACACACGGGUUAAUUGAUUUUAAAAGCCGAAGAAUUACAGUUAACUUUUCCCACAGGGUACAGACGCCAGCCGCUUGGCACACUCUGCCUUUCGCACUGGUGCAGGGGGGCAGGGAGAGCCCGCAGCAAACCUAGCAACUGCUGAGGGAACGUUGCCUGCUUAUUGGAGUAGCGCCGAUAGAAGUCGACGUGGCACUGCCUCGUCCUUACCGUAUGGAGAGCCAUUCUAUAUUUUGUUAAAUAAUCAAAGCACAACCCUGUCUUUCUUCUUCUCCUUUCCUCGUUCAAAACAGGAAAACCCUUCAGAAGUUCUUAUGGGGAAAAAAUAUCCCUCCCCCAAACUAUUUAUCUCAUCCAUAAUAUGCUUUUUUUCCAAUAAGAAGAAAAUACGUGAUGCCUGUUUUUUUUUAAUUACAAGAAGGAAAGCUACUCUUUCCCUAAACAUCACAGGCAAAGAAGAUUUUUUUAAAGAAAAAGUUCCAUAAAGUUUCUUUCUCUAUAUCUCAGUAUUUUGUUUUGUUUCUAUUCCCC